rnacentral:lncRNA from 1 species
AUGGAGCACUCCAGCGAGCGCCCCACAGACAUGUCUCGGGAGAGACUCAUCCAAGAGCUCGAAGACACCAGAGAGCAGCUGAAGAGGCAGAAAACCCUGAAGGAAAUGUUCAUCAACAAGGGGAAAGAGACCACCAGAGAGCUGGAGCGGCUGAGAAAGUACAGCGAUGACGUAACUCUCAGCAACGCAAAGAUAGCGACUCAGGUGAGGAACAACACCAAGCAGAAGAAGAAGAGGGAUCUUCACCAAGAUUACGAGGAGCUGAAGGUCGCCUAUUUAAUCAGCGAGGAUAAGUAUCGAGCUGACCUCCAGGAGGAGAAGGACAAGAACACGCUUCUUCAAGAAGAACUGGAUCAGAUCAACGUCAGACUCAGGCAUGAAGCUGAUGUCAUUGAGGUCAAACAGCAGGUUGAGACUCUCCAACACGAGCUUCAGAGGGAAGUCCAGCAAAGAAAGCUCCUUCAACAACAAACCGAGGAGCUGAAAAUGGCACACACACUCAGCCAGGACAAGUUCGCUGCUGAGCAGGACCAGCUCCGUCACAGGAUGACCGAGGAAAUCAACAAUCUCCAGCAAAACACAUUGGAGAAGGAGGAACGCUAUGAGAGACAACUGGAGGAGCUGAAAUCUCAGCUUACUGUUCAGAUCUCUCUCAACCUCGAGCUCUCCACAGAGCUUAAGGCCUCGAAGGAAGCUGAAGUCCCCGAAGAGAAGCCGUGUGAGCAGGAGUCCAACGCUACCGCCUCGGCCCCCGAACUUCUGGACGUGACUGAAGUCUCAGAGGAGAAGAAGUGGAAGAAGCUUCAACAACUCCAGCUGUCACAUUCGCCAUCAGACAUCAACACCAAGAACAUCUCCACUGCGGACAGCCAGUAGAUACCACACGUCAUCUGUGGUCCAGCAUGGGGGGGGGGGAGGCUGUAUAUCACCGUUACCUCCAAACGGCAGCACACUCUUGCAGACGGUACGAGCAGCUGAUCAGAAACGCUCCCCAUGCUGUCUGUCAGACAAGCUACAUGUGCGCUGUCUGUGUGGAGCUAACACGCCCUCCCCGUGUCUCUGUGGGUUUUCUCCGGGUGCUCCGGUUCCCACAGUUAAAUUUUUUUUUUUUUUAAUAAAAAGUGAAAAAAAUGAAAAAAAUUGAAAUCCUUGUUCAAAUGGCUUCAUUCUGUAUCGUGUAGUAGAUGUACAAUGAUUGUAAAAUGUGGGACAUUGUCCCAAACACAAGGAAGCCGAGUGUAAAGUGUGUUAAAGCAAGAAGGCAGAACAGAGAAUGCAAAAACACAAAAAGACAAUAUGAUUAAGUCCAAGUAGGAGAAAUAAAAGCAUCCUGUUCUGUCAUGACAAGCUCACCAUUGCACUUAUAUUUGUAUUCAGCAGAUCGUAAACACCUCAGCAAAAAAAUACAGACAACCUGUAUCAAAUAUGAUGAACCUUUGGUUUGAAUAUCAGCCAUUCCUGGUUACAUUUUAGCCACAUUUAAGGCAAUGUCAAUGUUAAACCAGGGAAAAGUGAUUCAGGAUUUUGGUUGUGGGCAGAUAAGGGUUUAAGGAAAAUGCACAAUAUGCUCAGAGAAGAUGAAAUAUUUAUGUCACUCUUAGAAAUAUCAACCAAACUUCCAACGAACCAUUCAAAAACAGAAAAAUAUCUUCAAAUUAGGAAUUUCAUGUCUCAAACCCACUCAUUUGAUGUACCUGGUAUUUCCUCCUGAGAGGGAGCAAUCAUAGGACAUUGUUAUAGUAAAGGUUUCAUUUCAUCAGCUUGGAAACUUUAGGGAUCAUAAACACGCACAACAAAAUCUGUUUCAAAUGUCUAGUUGCUUUAAGACAUUUUAAUGCAGAAAUCUUACAUAUUACAUCUUAAACAAGCUAAUUCAGACCUGCUCAUGACACACACACACACACACACACACACACACACACACACACACACACGAUAUGUCUGGAUGUGUGCAGGGGCUGAUAAUGAACAAGGGUGUUAAUCUACACAUCAUACAGCAGCACAGGACAGGGAACACUCAGAGCCACGUUGUGCAUGAUCUGCUUGGAGCAAAUGUUGUGAUCGUCUUCAUCCUCCACGAAGACGGACACGAAGUGGUCCUGCUCCCAGGGCACCGGCUGAGUCUGAGAGGCCAGCACACGGACGCACUUGGCGCCUUUGUUGAAGCAGAACUUUUUGUCUGCCGGCAGCACCGACAGGCUCUUCUUCCAGCUCUUAUCAUCGGCCGCAGUCUGCGGGGCGAUGAAGGCGUCCAUCUCCAGAGCCUUCUCCGUGACGAACACCCGGACGUUCCUCUUGCUGUGGUUGCUCAUCUGGAAGGAAGUGUUCGUGUUCCCCAUUUUUGUCGUGUGAUUGGUCAGGCCGAGGCUGUAAUUGGAGAAAAAACAGACAGACAUUAUGCUUUUAAACCUUUUACUGCUAUUAUACUGUAAACUGUUUUUAUUUCUCACACCUCAUAUAUACCAUAUUGACUAUUUUCUGUACCAGCUUGAAUAUU